GCCGCCAGGGGACUGGGAGGUCCUCACCUCGAUGUCUGAGGGGGACAUGCACAGAGCGGGCGAACGGCUGUCCUCCACACCUGGCGACGGCGGCGAGUUCAGACUCCGGAUGCCAGCUUGGCAAUUGACAGUGGGCUCAAACCACCAACCUUCUGAUUAACAGCUAGACGCACCAACCCCUUGUGCUGCUGGAGGCUGCUAUAAUUAAAUAAGAACAUAAGAAGAGCCGGAUGGAUCAGGCCAAAGGGGACCGUCUAGUCCUGUUCGCACAGCAGCUAACUAGAGGCCCCGAAGGGAAACCCACAAAUGGGACCCGAGCAUCAUAGGAGUCCCCCACAGAUCUCCACAUUGGUCACAACUGGACCCGUGCCAGUCGCAAAAUGCGCCCGGCCAAUUUCUUAAUACUAUUUGCAACUCCCUCCUUAGAGAAGCCAGACUGGCAGCUAUUUGGUGAAGACUAUUUUAUUCUGACAAGCCUUCGGAAACUGACUGUACCCUUCUUCUUUUUUAAGGAAAGAACUUCUAGCAGUGA